CUUCUCUCUAGUUGGGGUGCCUGUGAAACCGGCAGGCUCUCUCCAAAUGCCUGGAUUCUGCUGGGGGAGUAAGAAGUCAGGAGUAGUUUGUCUGAUGGUAUUGGGAUCUGCUUUGCAAUUGCCAAGCGCUAAGGCACAAGCUGGCAGAUGUGCUGCGGCUCUGCUACGGGCGGCUCUGUCGCCUUCAGUCGCAGGCUGGUUCUUUGGGGGAAAGUUGUAUCCAAUAUUGGUGACUCCCGGGAAUAGUCUGUUUGUGUGCUACUUAAUGGUCUCUAGGCUUCCUUGUCUUGUAGAACCUUGUUAGAAAGGAGCCUUGGUGAUUAAGAGGCUAUGGAGUACACAGCCUUGCUUAGCAGAUGAGCCCUUAUCCAUUUCCCGUUUCCUUAAAAACGGCUAAUUGAUGGAUGCUGCAGAAAACAUGCACUCUGCUAAUAAGAUGCUGAUGACAAAAUAGGUAUCAGGAAAGGCAUUUACUGCUUAUGAGCACCAUCAGCUUUCUUUCGAGUGAGAUUGUGGCUUUGUAGUAAAGUUUUUUUUUAAGUAAUAUGCUAAUAGUUUUAUUCUAAAUCGGCCAGCGCUGAAUAUCUUCAGGAAAAUGGGUUCCAUGAGAAGUGACAUCCUCCUCGAAUCAAAAGAUUCUCAGGAUGAUGGAGUGAGUGAUGGAAUAGGUUGCCAACUGUAGUUACUCCACUCAGCACAGAAUGGCUGCGGGGAAAUAUAAUCAGACAUGCCCAAAGAAGUCUGCUUAGGGUGAAACAAAUACCUUUGAGGUUUAAAUCAGGAAGGAGAGACUGUUUCUACAGGUGUCAUACAAAAAUCAAUACUGAGCCAAGGAUUAUUGGAUCCCAUAGAACCACGGAGACUUGGUAGUGAAAUUCUUCCAAAGCAUUCCAUCCGUGCAGGCAGAUGGUGUUCCUAGGUUUGGAAAUAUAAAUCCCAUGGGAAGUCAGCUGAAGACCAUUUUAUGCAUCACUCAUCCUGUUAGAGCCCUGUGCUGUUCUGUCUCUCUAUAAGACUGGCUGAAACCACCACGGUUGUUUACAAUUUAUGCUCUAACUUUGGAUCACCUAGUUAAUACUCUAACUCCGAUUAUUACCAAAGACAAUGUUCUAUAAAAGAUAUUGUCUAUUAGAAGGAUGCUUCUGCAUUAUUAAUAAAAUCACAGGGAAAAUGCAACAUUUUGGAUGUCACAUCUGAUAAGUGGGUGACUGAUCGUACCCGCCAGCUGGCUAAUGUCAUAAUUAACAAAGUUGCUACUACAUCUGCAAAGUUUAAUCGAAAAAUUUGCCAGUGAUAUGAUGGCCUUGUCACAGAGAUCACAAGGGACACGGAGUUGACUUUUGCUCAAGGUGGAACGACAGAGCUGUGUAGGCAAGAUGAGAAAUUGCGAACUUGUUCGGCCAAAGGAUUAUCUCCUGAGAUGUGUAGAAAUGAACUCUUGUCAGAGUUUCAAAGGAAUUAACGUUUUUUGGUAAAAUGUGCUAAUGUAAAGAGUGAGAAGAUUAGUGAUACAUAAUGAAAGCAAUGCAUUCUUUCACAUGGAAAUGGGAAUAUAAUAAAUGUCCUGCAGGUGAUUGGGGCUGUAGCAAUUUUAUUGAAGAUUAAAGUUUGAUUGACCUUUGUUAGGGUGAUUAACCCUUCUGAAAUUAAAAGCCAGAGCUGAAUUAUUCUGCUCAAUUUAAAUGCAAACAUCGAGCAGGUCGUAUGUCAUUCAAAUAAUAAUAAGAAGAAAAUCUUCCUAUUUUAAUUUUCAUUUUUGCACUUCUGAGUGGUAUGCUGCUUUAGAAGGACCAUAGCUCUCGCAAAAGCAUUCUGGUGGCAGAGAAUAUACAAUAACGUUACAGAUAAUUGGGAGCAUAUAGGAAGAGUCCCAAGCACUACUGCCUGCAUUCGAAACAUCAAAACCACCAUCCCAACAAAAGCACGGAGCAUGAAGCCAAUCUCUGUACACUGAAAAUGCAUGCUCCCAAUAGAAAAACAACCUAGGGAUGUCCUGAAGGGGUUAGGAAUAAAUAACAAUGACAUCUCUAUUCUAGUUCAGUGCCAACCACCGAAAUUGCAUAUCAUAUCCAUGUUAAAUCUACAUGAUGUCUCCUGGAAAUGCGUGCUUUUUGGUACAGUUGCUUAUGAAGCAGUUUCUAAAAGUUGAUUAUUUCUGAUGUCUGGAAUUUCAUUCUCCAUGAUCUCUGGCAGUUUCUGAAUAUAUUCAGUAUUUUCAUUAAGUUCAAAAAUGCUGUAGGAGAAGCUAACGAAUUAUUUGCAAUGCCAUUUAAUGGUUUAGUUUUAUUUUUCUCUGUUAAAUUUUCUAAGCCUUGGUGAAAAGUUGUGUAUUCACAUUUCUUCAAAAAACUGUUUCCAUUUUUCAUAUCAUGUUAAUUUUGUUUAGUUCUAAGUCAGUGAAUAUUUUUAGUCUUAGGUCCCACCACAUAGUGAAUGUGUCUGCCUUUUAUGUAUCUGUGAACUAUUAAAAUGAUAAUAAAGGUUCUCUUCCUUCCA
rnacentral:lncRNA from 1 species